rnacentral:lncRNA from 1 species
GCCUGAGUGUAUCUGUUACAUCUUCCACAAUAUGGCCUCGGAGCUUAACAAGAUCUUAGAGGAUUGCCUCGACGAGAGCACGGGGCAGCCGUAUUCUCCUAAGAUCACGGGGGAGAAUAGUUUCCUAAACGGCGUCGUUAAGCCUAUCUACGACACGAUCAGAGCUGAGAUUAAUGAGAGCAAGAACGGGACGGAGCCGCAUUGUAAGUGGAGGAACUACGAUGAUAUUAAUGAGUACUUCUGGACGGAUAGGUGUUUUAGUAAAUUGAAAUGGCCGAUUGAUUUGGGGAGCAGUUUCUUCAAGAACAGCAGAGGUAGCGGAGUUGGGAAGACAGGUUUUGUGGAGAGGAGGACGUUUUUCUACCUCUACAGGAGCUUUGAUAGGCUUUGGGUGAUGCUUGCUUUGUUUCUUCAAGCUGCUAUUAUAGUUGCUUGGGAGGAGAAGCCGGGUGGAGGGUCGGUGACGAGUCAGCUCUGGAAUGCGUUGAAGUCGACGGAUGUUCAGGUGAGGCUUUUGACUGUGUUCUUGACGUGGAGUGGGAUGAGGUUGUUGCAGGCUGUGUUGGACGCUGGCUCGCAACGGUCUCUUAUUUCUAGAGAGACCAAACGGCUGUUUUUCAGAAUGUUGAUGAAGGUUGUGGCUGCUACGGUUUGGAUAGUAGCGUUUAUUGUUCUCUACACGAACAUCUGGAAGCAGAGGAAGCAAGAUAGGCAGUGGUCCAGAGCCGCGAAUGAUAAGAUCUAUCAGUUCCUUUACGCUGUGGUGGCUUUCUUGGUUCCUGAGAUCCUGGCUUUGGCUCUGUUUAUAGUCCCGUGGAUAAGGAACUUUCUGGAAGAGACGAAUUGGAAGAUAUUCUUUGCUUUGACUUGGUGGUUCCAGGGUAAAAGCUUUGUGGGUCGAGGUUUGAGAGAGGGGUUGGUGGACAACAUCAAGUACUCGACUUUCUGGAUCUUUGUCCUUGCAACGAAGUUCACGUUCAGCUACUUCCUGCAGGUUAAGCCAAUGAUUAAACCCUCGAAGCUGCUAUGGAAUUUGAAGGAGGUGGAUUAUGAGUGGCAUCAGUUCUUUGGCGAGAGCAAUAGGUUUUCUGUCUUGUUAUUGUGGCUGCCAGUGGUGUUGAUAUACCUGAUGGAUAUCCAAAUUUGGUACGCGAUCUAUUCUUCGAUUGUUGGUGCUGUUGUUGGGCUGUUUGAUCAUCUGGGGGAGAUCAGGGACAUGGGACAGCUUAGGCUGAGGUUUCAGUUCUUUGCUAGCGCUAUUCAGUUCAACCUAAUGCCUGAGGAACAACUCCUGAAUGCUAGAGGAUUUGGUAACAAGCUUAAGGACGCCAUUCAUAGGUAAGUCUAUUGAAGCAUGUUACUGAUAUUUCUAUAUAAUUUACUAUAUAGAGUUUGUCUUUAAAGUACAAGCUAUAGUAUUUUAGUUUUGUUAAAGCAGAUUCUCCGCAAUGAACUCGACUUUUUCACAUUGUAAUAACAUUGAGUUUGUGUACUUUAUGCAGAUUGAAGCUGAGGUAUGGAUUGGGGCGGCCGUUUAAGAAACUCGAGUCCAAUCAGGUUGAGGCUAACAAGUUUGCGCUGAUCUGGAAUGAGAUAAUCUUAGCUUUCAGAGAGGAGGAUAUAGUCUCUGAUCGAGAAGUAGAGCUGCUGGAGCUGCCAAAGAAUUCCUGGAAUGUGACAGUUAUCCGCUGGCCGUGUUUCCUGUUGUGCAACGAACUUUUGCUUGCACUGAGCCAGGCGAAAGAGCUGGUUGACGCACCUGAUAAAUGGCUGUGGCACAAGAUAUGCAAGAAUGAGUACAGGCGGUGUGCUGUGGUUGAGGCAUAUGAAAGCAUCAAACAUCUGUUGCUCUCAAUCAUCAAAAUUGACACUGAAGAACAUAAAAUUGUUACAAUUUUCUUUCAGAUGAUUGAGGUGUCUAUUCAGGGUGAGCAGUUCACCAAGACCUUCAAAGUGGACCUUUUGCCAAAGAUUUAUGAGACACUGCAGAAGUUGGUUGGGCUGUUGAAUGAUGAGAAAGUGGAUGUUGGGCGAGUGGUGAAUGGUCUGCAGUCUAUUUAUGAGAUUGCAACACGACAGUUCUUCCUAGAAAAGAAGACGACUGAACAGCUAUCUACUGAGGGGUUAACUCCUCAUGAUCCAGCCUCAAAGUUACUGUUUCAGAAUGCUGUUAGGCUUCCCGAUGCAAGCAAUGAAGACUUCUUCCGGCAGGUUAGGCGGUUACACACAAUUCUCACUUCUAGGGACUCUAUGCACAGCGUCCCUGUGAAUCUAGAGGCGAGACGGCGGAUUGCCUUCUUCAGCAAUUCGCUCUUCAUGAACUUGCCUCAUGCACCUCAGGUGGAGAAAAUGUUGGCGUUCAGUGUUAUGACUCCAUACUACAGCGAGGAAGUUGUAUACAGCAAAGAACAGCUCCGAAAUGAGACUGAGGAUGGGAUUUCAACCUUGUAUUACCUGCAGACGAUUUAUGCCGACGAAUGGAAAAAUUUUAAGGAACGGAUGCGUAGGGAAGGUAUAAAGACAGAUGUUGAGUUGUGGACAACCAAGCUGAGAGAGCUCAGGCUUUGGGCUUCCUACAGAGGUCAGACUUUGGCACGUACAGUUCGAGGAAUGAUGUACUAUUACAGGGCUCUUAAGAUGCUUGCUUUUCUCGACUCUGCGUCUGAAAUGGACAUUCGGGAGGAUGCUCAGGAGCUUGGUUCAAUGAGGAGUUCGCAGGGAAAUCGAUUGGAUGGUGUUGACGAUGUAAAUGACCGAUCUUCUCUAAGCAGAGCAACUAGCUCUGUGAGCAUGCUGUAUAAAGGCCAUGAGCAUGGGACUGCAUUGAUGAAAUUCACAUAUGUCGUGGCGUGCCAAAUCUAUGGGUCUCAAAAAGCGAAGAAAGAGCCUCAGGCAGAGGAAAUUCUGUAUCUUAUGAAGCAAAACGAAGCCCUUCGUAUUGCAUAUGUGGAUGAGGUACAUGCGGGCAGGGGAGAGACUGAGUAUUACUCCGUUCUGGUGAAAUACGAUCACACGUUGGAGAGGGAAGUGGAGAUAUUCCGUGUGAAGCUACCUGGUCCGGUGAAGCUGGGUGAGGGAAAGCCAGAGAACCAGAAUCAUGCAAUGAUCUUUACCCGUGGUGAUGCUGUUCAGACCAUAGAUAUGAACCAGGAUAAUUAUUUUGAGGAGGCUCUCAAGAUGAGAAAUUUGAAUAACAAAGAAUGUAGCCCAAACGGAAACAGAAUAAAUGAAACGCGGUAAAGUGAACAGAUGUCACAUAAUGAUUGGCUGAUUUAAUUGUCCUACGUGGACAGCUUCUCUGAUGCUCAUAUAACCCUUUUAGUAUAGGUUAGAUGAUAUCAUCCUUAGUCAAAAGUCAAAACAUCUCAAAUUAAAUAAGUAUAGAGUUGUGAAUUUUUAAAAAAGUAUAGAGUAUAUAAAAUUAGCAUUUGCGAAUGUUUUUAAAAGUUUGGCGUUUGUAUGGAUCACUGUCAGUGUCAUGAAUCAUUCGGUGACUGCAAAAUUUUAUAUGACAAAAAAAAAAGAGAGUUGAUACUUACCAUUCUCGAUAUUUUGAAAUUUUUUUCGUCGUUAAUACAAACUCAACAUUUUCGAAAUCUUGGAUUAAAAAAAAAAAAUAUGGACAAAACGGUACUUAUUAAUUAAUUAUGUACUAGCGUCUUGACAUUAUUAAUAUAGAUAUAAUUAUAAGAACAAGAAACGUAUAUGCACAAACCCUCAAACCAAAUUUAAAUAGUGUUAAAAAACAAGGGAUGUACUUGUUAUGAAAAAUUAAUAUAUAACCAUUCUUAACAUUUUUACCUAACCCUUAAACUUUAUAAAUAAAAAUACGUAAUAUCCCGAUAGAAAUAUUUUAAAAUUUUGAUUUGAUUAUUUAUGUUAUCAAAGUGCAUUUAUUUUUUUUUGUCACGUAUAUAUUUAAAAUUUCAACAUUAAAAGUGUGUAAGAUGGAGUAGUGAAAAUAUAGACGACUUACCAUAAAAUUAUUUGUGAUAUCAUUUGAAUAAGACUAAAACACGGACAAAAAUAAUAUAGUGAUUGCAUUGUUAUUAAACAAUUAUUUGGAUUUGAAAAGAAAUAACUCAUUGAAUGAAGCCUAUGAGCCGAGUAAACGGACGUGGAUAGCUUAAGCGGUUGGACCGUACAAAAUUUAUGACCAACAAGAAAAUGAAAUUGAUUUUUUUUUUGACGAAAAAAUGAAAUUGAUUUUAGAAAGUAACAAAAUGGUUCCAGAUUUCAAUACUUCAACGUUUUUUUAUGCCGACUUUCUUUUCCUCUUUUACUUACAUGAUAAGGAAACGAGAGAGGUUGAAGAAACAAAGAAACUUCCUAAGCAUUUAGAAAUGUAUCUUCAAAAAAUCUAGUAUUUACCAAGUAAAAUCAUUCAAAAUAAGGAAAAAAAGAAGAAUCUAUUUCCCAAUUUGGUUUUCACCGAAAAAAAAAUUGUCUUAAUAAAAUCUUAAUGCACCAAAUCAUAUAAGAACUUUAUAUGACCAUUGUCAUUAGUUUUUUCUUUAUGGUAAUGGAUCUUCAAAUAAUUUAAAUUAAAUUAAAAAAAAAAAAGAGAAACAAAAACGCGGAAAGGAGAGCCCAAAUCGUCUCCGUCUGUCAUUGUCGCAGUCUCUCACAGCUAAAUAAAAGAGAAAAACAAAUCGCAACGCUUCAAUAUCUCUCUCCCAAUCGUUUGAAUCAGUCUUCCUCAUCACAAUCCCCCAAAGAUCCACCACACAUGCUACUAUGAGCCUCCGCCACCGCACCGUCCCCUCUCAACCCGGACGGCCCCCGGCGGCGGGCGCAAUCGACGACGAGCCCUACAACAUCAUCCCCGUCAACAACCUCCUCGCCGACCACCCCUCCCUCCGCUACCCCGAGGUCCGCGCCGCCGCCGCCGCCCUCAAAACCGGCGGCGACCUCCGCCGCCCCACCUACGUCCAAUGGCGCCCCCACUACGACCUCCUCGACUGGCUCGCCCUCUUCUUCGGCUUCCAGAAGGACAACGUCCGCAACCAGCGCGAGCACCUCGUCCUCCACCUCGCCAACGCCCAGAUGCGCCUCACGCCGCCGCCGGAUAACAUCGAUUCCCUCGAUCCCGCCGUCGUCCGCCGUUUCCGCCGCAAGCUCCUCGGUAACUACUCGAGCUGGUGCUCGUACCUCGGGAGGAAGUCGAACAUCUGGAUCUCGGAUCGGAACCCCGAUUCGAGGCGGGAGCUUCUCUACGUCGGCCUCUACCUCCUCGUGUGGGGGGAGGCGGCGAAUCUUAGGUUUAUGCCGGAGUGUGUCUGUUACAUCUUCCACAAUAUGGCCUCGGAGCUUAACAAGAUCCUCGAGGAUUGCCUCGACGAGAGCACGGGGCAGCCGUACUCUCCUAGAAUCACGGGGGAGAAUAGUUUCCUAAACGGCGUCGUUAAACCUAUUUACGAGACGAUCAAAGCUGAGAUUAACGAGAGCAAGAACGGGACGGAGCCGCAUUGUAAGUGGAGGAACUAUGAUGAUAUUAAUGAAUACUUUUGGACGGAUAGGUGUUUUAGUAAAUUGAAAUGGCCGAUUGAUUUGGGGAGCAGUUUCUUCAAGAGUAGUAGAGGGAGAGGCGUUGGGAAGACAGGUUUUGUGGAGAGGAGGACGUUCUUUUACCUCUACAGGAGCUUUGAUAGGCUUUGGGUGAUGCUUGCUUUGUUUCUUCAAGCUGCUAUUAUAGUCGCUUGGGAGGAGAAGCCGGGUGGAGGGUCGGUGAGGAGUCAGCUCUGGAAUGCGUUGAAGUCGAGGGAUGUUCGGGUGAGGCUUUUGACUGUGUUCUUGACGUGGAGUGGGAUGAGAUUACUGCAGGCUGUGCUGGACGCUGCCUCGCAACGGCCGCUUAUUUCUAGAGAGACCAAGCGGCUGUUUUUCAGAAUGUUGAUGAAGGUUGUAGCUGCUACGGUUUGGAUAAUUGCUUUUAUUGUUCUCUACACGAACAUCUGGAAGCAGAGGAAGCAAGACAGGCAGUGGUCCAGAGCCGCGAAUGACAAGAUCUAUCAGUUCCUUUACGCUGUGGUGGCUUUCUUGGUCCCUGAGAUCCUGGCUUUGGCUCUGUUUAUAGUCCCGUGGAUAAGGAACUUUCUGGAAGAGACCAAUUGGAAGAUAUUCUUUGCUUUGACUUGGUGGUUCCAGGGUAAAAGCUUUGUGGGUCGAGGUUUGAGAGAGGGGUUGGUGGACAACAUCAAGUACUCGACUUUCUGGAUCUUUGUCCUAGCAACGAAGUUCACGUUCAGCUACUUCCUGCAGGUUAAGCCAAUGAUUAAACCCUCGAAGCUGCUAUGGAAUUUGAAGGAGGUGGAUUAUGAGUGGCAUCAGUUCUUUGGCGAGAGCAAUAGGUUUUCUGUCUUGUUAUUGUGGCUGCCAGUGGUGUUGAUAUACCUGAUGGAUAUCCAAAUUUGGUACGCGAUCUAUUCUUCGAUUGUUGGUGCUGUUGUUGGGCUGUUUGAUCAUCUGGGGGAGAUCAGGGACAUGGGACAGCUUAGGCUGAGGUUUCAGUUCUUUGCUAGCGCUAUUCAGUUCAACCUAAUGCCUGAGGAACAACUCCUGAAUGCUAGAGGAUUUGGUAACAAGCUUAAGGACGCCAUUCAUAGGUAAGUCUAUUGAAGCAUGUUACUGAUAUUCCUUUAUAAUUUACUGUACAGAGUUUGUCUUUACGGUACAAGUUAUGGAAUUUUAGUUUUGUUAAAGCAGAUUCUCUUAACUCGGCUUUUCAACAUUGUAAUAACCUUGAGUUUGUGUACUUUAUGCAGAUUGAAGCUGAGGUAUGGACUUGGGCGGCCAUUUAAGAAACUCGAGUCUAAUCAGGUUGAGGCUAACAAGUUUGCGCUGAUCUGGAAUGAGAUAAUCUUAGCUUUCAGAGAAGAGGAUAUAGUCUCUGAUCGAGAAGUAGAGCUACUGGAGCUGCCAAAAAAUUCCUGGAAUGUGACAGUUAUCCGCUGGCCGUGUUUCCUGUUGUGCAACGAGCUUUUGCUUGCACUGAGCCAGGCGAAAGAGCUGGUUGACGCACCUGAUAAAUGGCUGUGGCACAAGAUAUGCAAGAACGAGUACAGGCGGUGUGCUGUGGUUGAGGCAUAUGAAAGCAUCAAACAUCUGUUGCUCUCAAUCAUCAAAAUUGACACCGAAGAACAUAAAAUUAUUACAAUUUUCUUUCAGAUGAUUGAGGUGUCUAUUCAGGGUGAGCAGUUCACCAAGACCUUCAAAGUGGACCUAUUGCCAAAGAUUUAUGAGACGCUACAGAAGUUGGUUGGGCUGUUGAAUGAUGAGAAAGUGGAUGUUGGGCGAGUGGUGAAUGGUCUGCAGUCUAUUUAUGAGAUUGCAACACGACAGUUCUUCAUAGAAAAGAAGACGACUGAACAGCUAUCUACCGAGGGGUUAACUCCUCAUGAUCCAGCCUCAAAGUUACUGUUUCAGAAUGCUGUUAGGCUUCCCGAUGCAAGCAAUGAAGACUUCUUCCGGCAGGUUAGGCGGUUACACACAAUUCUCACUUCUAGGGACUCUAUGCACAGCGUCCCUGUGAAUCUAGAGGCGAGACGGCGGAUUGCCUUCUUCAGCAAUUCGCUCUUCAUGAACUUGCCUCAUGCACCUCAGGUGGAGAAAAUGUUGGCGUUCAGUGUUAUGACUCCAUACUACAGCGAGGAAGUUGUAUACAGUAAAGAACAGCUCCGAAAUGAGACUGAGGAUGGGAUUUCAACCUUGUAUUACCUGCAGACGAUUUAUGCCGACGAAUGGAAAAAUUUUAAGGAACGGAUGCGUAGGGAAGGUAUAAAGACAGAUGUUGAGUUGUGGACAACCAAGCUGAGAGAGCUCAGGCUUUGGGCUUCCUACAGAGGUCAGACUUUGGCACGUACAGUUCGAGGAAUGAUGUACUAUUACAGGGCUCUUAAGAUGCUUGCUUUUCUCGACUCUGCGUCUGAAAUGGACAUUCGGGAGGAUGCUCAGGAGCUUGGUUCAAUGAGGAGUUCGCAGGGAAAUCGAUUGGAUGGUGUUGACGAUGUAAAUGACCGAUCUUCUCUAAGCAGAGCAACUAGCUCUGUGAGCAUGCUGUAUAAAGGCCAUGAGCAUGGGACUGCAUUGAUGAAAUUCACAUAUGUCGUGGCGUGCCAAAUCUAUGGGUCUCAAAAAGCGAAGAAAGAGCCUCAGGCAGAGGAAAUUCUGUAUCUUAUGAAGCAAAACGAAGCCCUUCGUAUUGCAUAUGUGGAUGAGGUACAUGCGGGCAGGGGAGAGACUGAGUAUUACUCCGUUCUGGUGAAAUACGAUCACACGUUGGAGAGGGAAGUGGAGAUAUUCCGUGUGAAGCUACCUGGUCCGGUGAAGCUGGGUGAGGGAAAGCCAGAGAACCAGAAUCAUGCAAUGAUCUUUACCCGUGGUGAUGCUGUUCAGACCAUAGAUAUGAACCAGGAUAAUUAUUUUGAGGAGGCUCUCAAGAUGAGAAAUUUGCUCCAGGAGUUUAGGCAUUAUCAUGGGAUCAGAAAACCAACUAUUCUUGGUGUCAGAGAGCACAUCUUCACGGGUUCUGUCUCGUCUCUGGCUUGGUUCAUGUCUGCUCAGGAGACAAGUUUCGUCACUCUGGGUCAGCGUGUUCUAGCCAACCCGCUGAAGGUCAGAAUGCAUUAUGGUCACCCUGAUGUAUUUGACAGAUUCUGGUUCUUGAGUCGAGGUGGCAUCAGCAAAGCUUCUAGAGUUAUAAAUAUCAGUGAGGACAUCUUCGCCGGGUUUAAUUGCACAUUGCGGGGCGGUAACGUCACCCACCACGAGUAUAUUCAGGUAGGGAAAUGUUCAUCGUUUGGAUAUUCUAACUAAUUUAUACAUCGACAACAAUACUAUAAUUCCACUUUUUUGUUAUAACCUUUUUGUGUGUG